AUUGAACGCUGGCGGCAUGCCUUACACAUGCAAGUCGAACGGCAGCACGGGAGCAAUCCUGGUGGCGAGUGGCGAACGGGUGAGUAAAGUAUCGGAACGUGCCCAGGCGUGGGGGCUAACGUAGCGCAAGUUACGCUAAUACCGCAUACGAUCUAUGGAUGAAAGCGGGCGAUCGCAAGAACACGCGCGAUUGUAGCGGCCGAUAUCAGAUUAGAUAGUUGGUGGGGUAAAGGCUCACCAAGCCGACGAUCUGUAGCUGGUGUGAGAGGACGACCAGCCACACGGGGACUGAGACACGGCCCAGACUCCUACGGGAGGCAGCAGUGGGGAAUUUUGGACAAUGGGGGAAAGCCUGAUCCAGCCAUGCCGCGUGCAGGAUGAAGGCCUUCGGGUUGUAAACUGCUUUUGUACGGAACGAAAAGGUUUGGCCUAAUAAGCUGAGCUCAUGACGGUACCGUAAGAAUAAGCACCGGCUAACUACGUGCCAGCAGCCGCCGUAA
rnacentral:rRNA from 1 species